GGCCUGAUGGUCUAGGAGUAUGAUUCGUUGUUAGGGCUAUUCAAGCUUUUCGACGAGGUCCCGGGUUCAAUUCCCGGUCAGGCCC